GUAUUUAUUUAUGACAUAAAAUAAAAUUGGAACGAUACAGAGAAUAUUAGCUUGACCCCUGUGUA
ensembl:snRNA U6 U6 spliceosomal RNA